AUUGAACGCUGGGGGCAGGCCUAACACAUGCAAGUCGAACGAGUGGCGGACGGGUGAGUAAUGUCUGGGAAACUGCCUGAUGGAGGGGGAUAACUACUGUAACCGGUAGCUAAUACCGCAUACCAUCGGAUGUGCCCAGAUGGGAUUAGCUAGGAGGGGGGGUAACGGCUCACCUAGGCGACGAUCCCUCGCUGGUCCUCGCGGAUGACCAUCCGAACUCGAAAUGCGACACGGUCCAGACUCCUACGGGAGGCAGCAGAGGGGAAUAUUGCACAGUGGGCUCAAGCCUGAUGCAGCCAUGCCGCGUGUAUGAAGAAGGCCUUCGGGUUGUAAAGUACUUUCAGCGGGGAGGCGUUACCCGCAGAAGAAGCACCGGCGAACUCCGUGCCAGCCGCCGCGGUAAUUC
rnacentral:rRNA from 1 species